GUCACCGGAAGAGGCGGGGUCUCCGAAUUGGUGGCGGGAAAGGAGGUGUCUGGAAAAGUCCCGGCGGACUCACCAGCCGCCCGCCCCCCUCCGGUACCCGCACCCACGCCCGCACCAUGCCCGCCGCCGGCUCCGAACUGCCGCGCCCACCGUCACCGCCCGCCGCGCAGGAGCGGGGCGCCGAGCCGCCGUCGCCGCCGCCGCACGGGGAGCUGCAGUACUUGGGGCAAAUCGAGCACAUCCUCCGCUGCGGCUCCCGGAAGGACGACCGCACGGGCACCGGCACCCUGUCGGUGUUCGGCAUGCAGGCGCGCUACAGCCUGAGAGAUGAAUUUCCACUGCUGACAACCAAACGUGUUUUCUGGAAGGGUGUUUUGGAGGAGUUGCUGUGGUUUAUCAAGGGAUCCACAAACGCUAAGGAGCUGUCUUCCAAGGGAGUGAAAAUCUGGGACGCCAAUGGGUCCCGAGACUUCUUGGACAGCCUGGGAUUCUCCACCAGAGAAGAAGGAGAUCUAGGCCCGGUUUACGGCUUUCAAUGGAGGCAUUUUGGGGCCGAAUACAAAGAUAUGCAUUCAGAUUAUUCAGGCGAAGGAGUAGACCAACUGCAAAAGGUGAUUGACACAAUCAAAACCAACCCUAAUGACAGAAGAAUCAUCAUGUGUGCCUGGAAUCCAAAAGAUCUCCCGCUCAUGGCCCUCCCGCCCUGCCACGCCCUUUGCCAGUUCUACGUGGUGAACGGUGAGCUGUCCUGCCAGCUGUACCAGCGGUCGGGAGACAUGGGCCUGGGCGUGCCCUUCAACAUCGCCAGCUAUUCCCUGCUCACCUACAUGAUCGCACACAUCACAGGCCUGAAGCCAGGUGACUUUGUACACACUUUGGGAGAUGCACACAUUUACCUGAAUCACAUUGAGCCGCUGAAAAUGCAGCUUCAGCGAGAACCAAGGCCUUUCCCAAAGCUCAAAAUCCUUCGAAAAGUUGAGAAAAUUGAUGACUUCAAGGCUGAAGACUUUCAGAUUGAAGGCUACAAUCCUCAUCCGACUAUUAAAAUGGAAAUGGCUGUUUAAAGUGCUUUUAAAGGAGUUGUUUGAAGCAUAUUUACACCCAGUGCCAUUGGUCUGCUUAGUUCCUGCCUCAAACGUUUAGCUGAACCCUCCUGAGCAAACAUAUGCUGUGUUCUUGUUUGGAUGCUGCUUUGAAAUGCAGACUAAGGACCAUCAAGGUUGGCCGGAACUCCCCCUUGGUCCUGCUUUGAGGAACUGAAGUGAAGGGGCAAAAGCAGAAUAAUCACGGAGUGUUCACUUUUAUAGUUUAAACUAUCUCAGGCAUAAUACUAAAACCCAGCUGAAGGAAGAGCCAUUACUCUACAGUUAAGCCCCCAGCUGGUCUCAGUCCCAUCGCUCUCACUCCUGAACCUGAUGUUCACCUUUGCCAUGUGUGUCUUUAUGCUUUCAUGAGGUGCUCCUCAAGAUCUUACUGCAACAGAACAUUUAAUUCUAGGAGGAAAGAAAAGCAUAAUAAAGCCGUGUCUGCAGGUGACUGGAAGGAGGCUGUCCUGACUUAAAGCUCCCCUGGGACAUGUUAAGAAAUAAAAUGGAACUAGAAGAUGCAGCCAGAUCAUGGCAACUCCAGUGCUGGGGAGAGACUGGACAGAAGCAAAAAGUACACAUGUGAUGAAAACGGGGGCUUCACAAAGUCAGAAACAGGAGCUGGUUUUGGAAAGAGUUCUGGUUUCCACCUGGUUGCAAACUGCCCCCACACUGCCAUAUACCUAGAAAACAGCCAGUCAGCUACCAGGAUCCCACCCUCUAGAAGAAGACAAGGAGUCUAUUCAGUGGCGGGUCUCUGUUGUUACUGCCCCAUGUGAAGGGGAAGCAAAACUGCAUGGGAGUUACUGAUGUGCCAGGGGACAGGGUUCUUAGUGCCUCUGGUCAUGAGAGCAGAAUUUUUAAAGAUCUGGCCUGGAUUGGGAGACAGUCCUGAAGUUGAUGCCACGUCACUGACCUGUCUUUAAGGCUCGCAGAGACAGAUAUGAAGUCGAAUAUAAUCAGAUGCUGCACCAAUUCACAGAGGCCAACUCCACCAGCAUGCGGGCACACGGGAACUAAAACGAAGACAGAUUUCUACUUAAUGCCAAGUGGGGCAGAGAGGGGGACGUGAAAUCGGGGGACCUAUGGCUUUCCCUAGUGCCUGAGAGUGAUUAAAUCAGGUU